UACGAAGGGGGCUAGCGUUGUUCGGAAUUACUGGGCGUAAAGCGUGCGCAGGCGGCUUCUCAAGUCAGGGGUGAAAGCCCAGAGCUCAACUCUGGAAUUGCCUUUGAGACUGAGUGGCUUGAGUACGAGAGAGGUGAGUGGAAUUCCCAGUGUAGAGGUGAAAUUCGUAGAGAUCCGGAGGAACCCCAGAGGCGAAGGCGGCGCUCUGGCUCGCAACUGACGCUCAGACACGACAGCAUGGGGAGCGAACGGG
rnacentral:rRNA from 1 species